rnacentral:other from 1 species
AUUUCUCUGAGAUGUUUGCAAGCGGGCCAGUCCCCUAAGCCGAUAUUUCAUACCACAAGAAUGUGGCGCUCCGCGGUUGGUGAGCAUGCUCGGUUCGUCCGAGAAGCCUUAAAACUGUGACGACACAUUCACCUUGAACCAAGGGUUCAAGGGUUACAGCCUGCGGCGGCAUCUCGGAGAUUCC